rnacentral:rRNA from 1 species
UGGGGAAUAUUGCACAAUGGGGGAAACCCUGAUGCAGCGACGCCGCGUGAACGAAGAAGGUAUUCGUAUCGUAAAGUUCUGUCCUAUGGGAAGAUAAUGACAGUACCAUAGAAGAAAGCUCCGGCUAAAUACGUGCCAGCAGCCGCGGUAAUACGUAUGGAGCGAGCGUUGUCCGGAAUUAUUGGGCGUAAAGGGUACGCAGGCGGUUUAAUAAGUCGAAUGUUAAAGAUCGGGGCUCAACCCCGUAAAGCAUUGGAAACUGAUAAACUUGAGUAGUGGAGAGGAAAGUGGAAUUCCUAGUGUAGUGGUGAAAUACGUAGAUAUUAGGAGGAAUAACAGUAGCGAAGGCGAGUUUCUGGACACAAACUGACGCUGAGGUACGAAAGCGUGGGGAGCAAAGAGG